UUAAUCCAAAACCCCUGUCUUCAUCUUCCAGACGCCGACAGCGGAAACAGCUGAUCAGACUGAGUGGUCCAUUGACAUACCAAGGGCUUCUUUCAGCAUGUCUUCAGGUCUGUGGCUCUUUUUAAGCAGCCAGCGAGUGUGGCCUGACAACGGACGUUUUCAAACCAGCCCUGACGUUGAUGAAACACCUCCGGUAGAGUCCAGGAGCUGCAGUUAAACACACAGUGGCCUGAAAGAAAUCUGGUGUACACGGCCCUGGUUCUGUAAAUUGGAAAGUGGCUUGGACCGAUCCACCCAACACUAUUCCAGCCGUUCAAGCCAUGAUUUGUGUAGCAAGUAACUUUAAAU